UUUAAGUUCUUUGAGUACUGUAUACUACGAGUUGCAUGAGCAGAAGUUAAAAUUAUUUUGCGACAGACGUGAUGUUGGCUCAUUAAUGCAUUGGGAGGGCACUGAAACUUUGGAUCUUUGGAUCCUUAGGUUAUAUAACUCUGAACCCUUAUAUCUUGAAAGGGUGUAAUCUCGCACCUACGCACCUAAUGCACCUGUAAAUAGUCUGCCUAUCAAAAUUCUUGAGAGAUUCUGUUUUAAAAAACACGAUAAAGUUUUAAGUGCGAUAGAGUCCCUCCCUCAUUGCUGCUACUGUGCUUUAGAUGACUUUUAAAUACAAAAUGCAAGCAUAUUCUUAUUUUGGCUAUAUGACAAGCCAAGUACGUGGCCAUGCAAGUUUCUGACAUGGACAUAUUUGUUUUUCCUAUGGAUAAUAUAAUCACUUAACACAAUUCUCUGUUUCUUAGACUGACUGUUUCACAGCACAUUCGUAUACUUUUACAGCAAAUCAUUUUGACUGACUGUUUCACAGCACAUUCGUAUACUUUUACAGCAAAUCAUUUUGACUGACUGUUUCACAGCACAUUCGUAUACUUUACAGCAGAUUAUUUUGACUGACUGUUUCACAGCACAUUCGUAUACUUUUCCAGCAAAUCAUUUUGACUGACUGUUUCACAGCACAUUCGUAUACUUUUACAGCAAAUCAUUUUGACUGACUGUUUCACAGCACAUUCGUGUACUUUUCCAGCAAAUCAUUUUGACUGACUGUUUCACAGCACAUUCGUAUACUUUUCCAGCAAAUCAUUUUGACUGACUGUUUCACAGCACAUUCGUAUACUUUUACAGCAAAUCAUUUGCAAAUCAUUUUGACUGACUGUUUCACAGCACAUUCGUAUACUUUUACAGCAAAUCAUUUUGGAUGGAACAUGUGAGAAAUCCUUUUGACCUUUGUUACAUUAACCCAUUUAAAAGAUCACUAUUAAGCAAACUUUGACUGAGAGUUUUUAAAUGAUGCAUGUGGUAAGUUUAUUACAAUUUUUGUUAACAUUUAACAAAAUCUACUCUGUCACUGUUACACUAUGCAAUUUUCUUGCAACUCUUUGUGCAAUUAUAAUUUUGAGGCAUGUUGAUUUGUAACCAGUGUUCGAAAGUU